GAGCAAUAUCUCAACUGUUUAGAAGAGAUGCAUUUAUUAGAUAAAAAACCAAUACAUGCUUUUAUAGUAUGAAUGUUGGUGAUUUACAAUAACUUAGCAAAUCGCAUAGUGUAAACAGGCGAUAAUUCAUUCAAGUUUCUGACCUAUCAGCUUUCGACGGUAUGGUAUUGGCUUACCGUGGCAGUGACGGUUAACGGGGGAUUAGGGUUCGAUUCCGGAGAGGGAGCCUGAGAAACGGCUACCACAUCUAAGGAAGGCAGCAGGCGCGCAAAUUACCCAAUUCUAACAGCAUAAGAGAGGUAGUGACAAGAAAUAACAGUACAAGGCAGUUAAAAUGCUUUGUAAUUGGAAUGAUAGAAAUUUAAACACUUUUUAGAGUAUCAAUUGGAGGGCAAGUCUGGUGCCAGCAGCCGCGGUAAUUCCAGCUCCAAUAGCGUAUAUUAAAAUUGUUGCAGUUAAAAAGCUCGUAGUUGAAUUUCUGUUAAAAAUAACCGGUCUGCUUUUAAUAAAAGUAGUAUCUUGGUGUGUUUUUAGCAAUAAUGUCCUUUGAAAUGUUUUUUACUUUAUUGUAAUAAACCAUAUUCAGGAUUUUUACUUUGAGAAAACUA
rnacentral:rRNA from 1 species